UACAGAGACUGCAAGCGUUUAUUCGGAUUCACUGGGCGUAAAGGGUGCGCAGGCGGCCGUGUGUGUGAGGCGUGAAAGCCCGGGGCUUAACCCCGGAAUUGCACCUCAAACUACACGGCUAGAGCAUUGGAGAGGGUAGCAGAAUUCACGGUGUAGCAGUGAAAUGCGUAGAUAUCGUGAGGAAUACCAGAGGCGAAGGCGGCUACCUGGACAAUUGCUGACGCUCAGGCACGAAAGCGUGGGGAGCAAAAGGG
rnacentral:rRNA from 1 species